rnacentral:rRNA from 1 species
GACGAACGCUGGCGGCGUGCUUAACACAUGCAAGUCGAACGGAAAGGCCUGCUUUCCCUUGUGGAUUGCGGGUACUCGAGUGGCGAACGGGUGAGUAACACGUGAGUGAUCUGCCCCCAACUUGGGUAUAAGCCUGGGAAACUGGGUCUAAUUCCCGAUAGGACUGCAGGGUGGUGCCUGUGGUGGCAAACGAUUUUCUAGUGGUUGGGGAUGAGCUCGCGGCCUAUCAGCUUGUUGGUGGGGUAAUGGCCUACCAAGGCGGCGACGGGUAGCCGGCCUGAGAGGGUGGACGGCCACAUUGGGACUGAGAAACGGCCCAGACUCCUACGGGAGGCAGCAGUGGGGAAUAUUGCACAAUGGGGGGAAGCCUGAUGCAGCGACGCCGCGUGGGGGAUGACGGCCUGCGGGUUGUAAACUCCUUUCGACCGCGAGGAAGCCACCUGGUUGGAAGGGUGGUGACGGUAGUGGUAGAAGAAGCACCGGCUAACUACGUG